UACGGGGGGAGCAAGCGUUGUUCGGAUUUACUGGGCGUAAAGGGCGCGUAGGCGGCUUAACAAGUCACUUGUGAAAUCUCCGGGCUUAACUCGGAACGGCCAAGUGAAACUGUCAAGCUAGAGUGCAGAAGGGCAAUCGGAAUUCUUGGUGUAGAGGUGAAAUUCGUAGAUAUCGGGAGGAACACCAGUGGCGAAGGCGGCGACCUGGGCCAAUACUGACGCUGAGGUGCGAAAGCGUGGGAGCA
rnacentral:rRNA from 1 species